GACGAACGCUGGCGGCGUGCUUAACACAUGCAAGUCGAACGGAAAGGCCCUGCUUUUGUGGGGUGCUCGAGUGGCGAACGGGUGAGUAACACGUGAGUAACCUGCCCUUGACUUUGGGAUAACUUCAGGAAACUGGGGCUAAUACCGGAUAGGAGCUCCUGCUGCAUGGUGGGGGUUGGAAAGUUUCGGCGGUUGGGGAUGGACUCGCGGCUUAUCAGCUUGUUGGUGGAGUAGUGGCUUACCAAGGCUUUGACGGGUAGCCGGCCUGAGAGGGUGACCGGCCACAUUGGGACUGAGAUACGGCCCAGACUCCUACGGGAGGCAGCAGUGGGGAAUAUUGCACAAUGGGCGGAAGCCUGAUGCAACAACGCCGCGUGCGGGAUGACGGCCUUCGGGUUGUAAACCGCUUUCGCCUGUGACGAAGCGUGAGUGACGGUAAUGGGUAAAGAAGCACCGGCUAACUACGUG
rnacentral:rRNA from 1 species